AGUUUCCCAGGUGGCGCAGCGGCAGCCAGUCCAAAGUCGGACUUUCAAAACCAACCCGAAGUUUUGAACCCGGCGGCGGCAGUUGUCACUGGCACAGGUUUGGCGUGGUGACGCCAGUGUACUGCUUCUGGGGAGGUCUCGACCAGGUUCUGGCACCUUCAACCCCCACCUGAUAUCUGCGUAUCAUCAGGGUAUCCCGCUUUCCCCCCAGUUCCCCAAGAGCGUCCUUCCUUUCCCUAGUCCCACGAUCGCAGUUUUGGUCUGAUAGUGCAUCCCCCUACUCCAAGUUGCAUCCCCACUACCCUCUUUCCAUCUAACGUGGUGGCCUUUCCUGGGCUGUACCUUGGGUAUCCCCCGCCGAGAGAGUAAGCACAAGACACCAGGGAGCCAGACCCCUGCCGCUCCCCUGCCACAGGAUAUGAGUAGGAGCCUCAGCUGGUUUGAGCAGCUGGAUGUGCUUCUCAACACUACUGAUGGAAAUGUGGCCCGGAUUAAGGUGAGGGGGACUCUCAGAGCUCAUUGACCUGUGCAACUGUUUCUUUUGUAGCAGUGGCUGUAUCCUCUUGGGGUCUCCAACUCAGAAUAGCACUGCUGUCACUCCUACAGUGCUGUGGGAGGAGUCA